AAUUGUUGGUAAAUACUUGCAGCCGUACCACGUGGUAACCAUGUGCUGCAAGCAUACACGGCGAGGAGGCUGUAAACAAACAUUUUCCAGUCUAAACGGAUGAUUUAGCAGCCGUGACUAAAAAUGAUAGACAAUAAUACUAAUUCAAGGUUAGUAUUUACACGGUGCAUUGUUUUUGGUCGUUGUAAAAUGUGCUGGUUGGUUCUUAAAAUCAUCAUAUCACAAGGACCGGGGUUCUGGCAAGCCAGUGCCCUUAAAGAAAAAUAUCCCACAAUAAGAUAACUCAUCUCGUCAGUCGACCCCAUGUAUAACCCUAUCAAUAUUUUAGCUACGGUGUCAAUAGUUUAUCCAUUGACAGCAGCUGAAUCACAUUCCUCAUAGUGUUAGUUAGGUACAUAUAUAUACAUGCAGUUAAUUCUUGUUGUGAGGUUUGUGUCCCCAAUUUGAUUUGGGAUGGACCGACGAGAGAGUGAUUGUGAUUGAUGAUUUCAGGGAGAUAUGUCAGACUCCUGUGGCAUGAUAUUUUACAUAUGAUCACAUGUAUUUAUAAGCAAACUUAUAAAAAAAAAUCUAUUCAAUGCUAAUUAAUUUAAUUAAUUUCAUUUUCAUUUCCUUACUUAGAUUUUCUCUUAUCAAGAGUUCA
rnacentral:lncRNA from 1 species